UACGGGGGGGGCAAGCGUUGUUCGGAAUUACUGGGCGUAAAGGGCUCGUAGGCGGCCAACUAAGUCAGACGUGAAAUCCCUCGGCUUAACCGGGGAACUGCAUCUGAUACUGGAUGGCUUGAGUUUGGGAGAGGGAUGCGGAAUUCCAGGUGUAGCGGUGAAAUGCGUAGAUAUCUGGAGGAACACCGGUGGCGAAGGCGGCAUCCUGGACCAACACUGACGCUGAGGUGCGAAAGCGUGGGGAGCAAACAGG
rnacentral:rRNA from 1 species